UCCCAUGUGGCUCAGUUGGUAGAGCAUGGUGUUUGCAAUGCCAGGGUUGUGAGGUCGAUUCCCACGGGGGAC
rnacentral:tRNA from 1 species